rnacentral:misc_RNA from 1 species
CUGCUUGAGCUGUCCAUAGCAGACAUCCUUGCUCCUUGUUCACUGCAAGCAUUCUCCAAUACAGCAUUGAACAGGACACAAGAAAACUGGAACUCGGCAAGAUUCUGAAGUAUUUCACCCUUUGUUUCACCACCUUCAAUCUCAUAAGAGUCAAGUUCUCCAAGUUUUCCCCCAGAUUCAGCCUCUUUCUCCACAACCUCUGGAGAUAAAACAGUUGACAUGGUUGGAAUAAAUGAAACAACUGAAUGGAACUUGUUGAAGACAAUCCUCAAAGCAUCAUACUCCACAUUCUUUAAGAUGUCAUCUGCCAGAACAGAGACCUGAGUAUAGUUCAGAGGAUUCUUCUGCAACUCAGUAAUGGAUAGUUCAAUGUCCUUCCUCGAGUCACGAAUCAACUGAGCCUUCGCCUUUUCUCCCAAGAUGACAUAUUUUGUUUCUUUCUCAGGACCAGCAGUCAACUUGUGUAUAGCCUUGCUUAUCUUGACAGAUGUGGAGUUAAUUCCUCCACAUAGACCUUUGUCUGAAGAAAUAGUGACAAUUACAUUCUUCUUCACAUCCACACUAGGAACAUCGCCAAGAUGGCUGCCAUAGGCCACGGGAAUUUUCUGCUCCAGUUUGAAUUGCACGUAACUUUGAGGCUG